AAGACCUUGCGCUUUUGGAGCGGCCGAUGUCUGAUUAGCUAGUUGGUGGGGUAAUGGCCUACCAAAGCUUCGAUCAGUAGCUGGUCUGAGAGGACGGCCAGCCACACUGGGACUGAGACACGGCCCAGACUCCUACGGGAGGCAGCAGUGGGGAAUUUUGGACAAUGGGCGCAAGCCUGAUCCAGCCAUGCCGCGUGAGUGAAGAAGGCCUUCGGGUUGUAAAGCUCUUUCAGCCGGGAAGAAAAGGCUGCGACUAAUAAUCGCAGUUCAUGACGGUACCGGAAGAAGAAGCACCGGCUAACUACAUGCCAGCAGCCGCGGUAAUACGUAGGGUGCGAGCGUUAAUCGGAAUUACUGGGCGUAAAGGGUGCGUAGGCGGUUUUGUAAGUCAGAUGUGAAAUUCCCCGGGCUUAACCUGGGAAACU
rnacentral:rRNA from 1 species